rnacentral:rRNA from 1 species
UACGUAGGGGGCAAGCGUUAUCCGGAAUUACUGGGUGUAAAGGGAGCGUAGACGGUAAUGUAAGUCUGGAGUGAAAGGCGGGGGCCCAACCCCCGGACUGCUCUGGAAACUAUGUUGCUAGAGUGCAGGAGAGGUAAGCGGAAUUCCUAGUGUAGCGGUGAAAUGCGUAGAUAUUAGGAGGAACACCAGUGGCGAAGGCGGCUUACUGGACUGUAACUGACGUUGAGGCUCGAAAGCGUGGGGAGCAAACAGG